UUUAAAAAUUUAAAAGCGACGGGCAAUAUGUAUAUAUUUAAAUUUAAAAUUUAAAAAUUAAAUUUUUAAUUUUUUUAAUUUUAAAUCCAAUUUCAAAAUUUUUUUUACAAAAAUAAUUCCAACAAUUUUUGUAAAAUAGUAUUUCAUUAAUAAUUUAAUUAUUUAAUAUAUUAUGAUUUGAAAUAAUUUAUUUUUAAAAAUUUUAAAUAAUAAAUUUAAAUAAUUAUUUUAACAACAAUAUAUAAUUUAAUAAACUAAAUAAAUUAUAUUGUGUACUAUCAAUUAAAAAACAAAAUCCUCUAAUUUUAUUAAAUACUACCAAAUUAAUUAAUUUUAUUAAAAUUAAUAAUAAUAAUCAUAAUUUUUAAAAAAAAAUAAUA
rnacentral:rRNA from 2 species